rnacentral:rRNA from 1 species
CGUAGGGUCCAAGCGUUAUCCGGAAUCACUGGGCGUAAAGCGUGCGUAGGUGGCGCGUUAAGUGAGAUGUUAAAACGUGGGGCUCAACCCUGUCGGUGCAUCUCAUACUGGCGUGCUAGAGGACAGCAGAGGCAAGUGGAAUUAGCAGUGUAGCAGUGAAAUGCGUAGAUAUUGCUAGGAACACCAAUGGCGAAGGCAGCUUGCUGGGCUACCCCUGACACUGAGGUACGAAAGCGUGGGGAGCGAACAGGAUUAGAUACCCUGGUAGUCCACGCCGUAAACGAUGCAUACUAGACGUAUGGGGUAUCGACCCCCUGUGCGUCGAAGCUAACGCGAUAAGUAUGCCGCCUGGGAAGUACGGCCGCAAGGCUA